rnacentral:rRNA from 1 species
AUUGAACGCUGGCGGCAGGCCUAACACAUGCAAGUCGAACGGUAACAGGAAGAAGCUUGCUUCUUUGCUGACGAGUGGCGGACGGGUGAGUAAUGUCUGGGAAACUGCCUGAUGGAGGGGGAUAACUACUGGAAACGGUAGCUAAUACCGCAUAACGUCGCAAGACCAAAGAGGGGGACCUUCGGGCCUCUUGCCAUCGGAUGUGCCCAGAUGGGAUUAGCUAGUAGGUGGGGUAACGGCUCACCUAGGCGACGAUCCCUAGCUGGUCUGAGAGGAUGACCAGCCACACUGGAACUGAGACACGGUCCAGACCCCUACGGGAGGCAGCAGUGGGGAAUAUUGCACAAUGGGCGCAAGCCUGAUGCAGCCAUGCCGCGUGUAUGAAGAAGGCCUUCGGGUUGUAAAGUACUUCCAGCGGGGAGGAAGGGAGUAAAGUUAAUACCUUUGCUCAUUGACGUUACCCGCAGAAGAAGCACCGGCUAACUCCGUG